GGUGCGUCAAUGUAAUUUCAGUAUACAGAUCUGGUGGGUUGUUCUAGGGAUCCUGUUUGUAAUAUAUAGGAAAUCCGACAUGAAAGAUGGUAUAAAAGUGGAGAGUGAAAGUGCCAAGAUAUCACAUUCUGAACAGAAGAUUGAUAAUUCCAGUCGCUCUCUGAGUUGAUGUUUGGUGAUUAAUAUCUGAGCCAUGUAUAGAAACACCCUUAUCUUUCUGAUCCUGCUGCAUUUAGUGGUCUUCAGUACAAACACUACUACUGAUACGCAGUUGACUGAAGAUACAUCAGUGACGACUGUGAGCGCUGAGUCUGACUCUACACACGCAAGCCAGUCUUCUUCAUCCACAUCCAUGGAUCCGGUCACUACACCGGUUCAGACCAACAGCUCUGUCAGUGAACCUUCUGAAGACCCGCAAGGUUUAACAUCAGGGGAGAUCGCAGGUAUAGCUGUAGGAUCCAUCGCUGGGGUGGCAGCUCUGGGCGGAGGGAUAUAUGCUGGACUGAAGUACACUGGCAAACUGGGUGGCUAAUUUGACUAUAUCUGAACCAACUGUAUUUCAUCAAACCAUAAUCAUCUGAUUAACAUUAAUUUUUUUAUGUAGCUCUGUGUCAACUGACAAAAUGGUACAAAAAAUCAUUAUAAUAGCUCUGACAUGAACAUGUUGAUGGACAAUGGGAGUGGUAACUCUUUUCUGAGCCAUUUUUGACAUGAGUGAAGACAUUUCUCCACUAGUUCACAGGUUUAGUUCAUCAUAUUAAUUAUGAACAAGAUCCACUAAUGUUUGACUUCCGCAAAGGGUCACAAUACUUCUUUUGAACAGUUUUGUAUUUUGUUUUAUAUUUGUGCUAUUUCAAAACAACAACAGCACAUUGUCUUCAUGUUGAAAUACUGUAUUUCUCAUUAAUAAUAAUCUACAUAUAGUCUCUGUUUUUGCAAAGUUAUUAUUUUAUGACAUGGCUAUGAGCAGCGAUGAGUUGGCACAGACAUACUGUGGUGUCGUUUAUGAUAUGCCUGUAUUUUCUUUAUGUAAACAUAAGCAAUAAUGUAUUCUGGGAAACCACAAAGCA